rnacentral:lncRNA from 1 species
GUUCUGCCAUCCUUAGUGAGUGGCUUCCAUCUGUAAGGUCACCUCAUGGCCCAGCAUGGCUGCCAGCACCCCUACCCUAUCUGUGUUACAGGCAGGAAGAAGAAGAAAUUGGGGAAGAACAAAAAGGGUGCCUUUCAAAUGCGUCAGCAUCUCUAAAGGAAUUCCCCAGAAAUCCCCCCAGUGACUUCUGUGUACAACUGACUGACCACAUCUGCAGGGGAGGCUGCAGAAUGUGGUUUUGUAGCGGGGCACAUUACCACAUUCAACAAUAUGGAGAUUCUGUUACUAAAGGAAAGGAGAGAGUAGACAAGGAGAAGGCAACUAGCGAUUCUGGACACGAGCUCCAGGAAGACAGUAAACAGAGGAGGAAAAGUACUGCCCUCCUCACCCAUCUGGGGUACACGGGACACUAUCAAUAAGCGAUAGAAGCCCAGGACUCAAGCUGUAGUUAACUUGCUUUCCUCUCUUCUAAAUGUUAAAGGAAAGUUCACAUCCAGGGUAGUUAGGAGACAGAGCAGCAUUUUAAAUGCUGUCAAAUUCCAGCUGAAUUCAGAAAAUUCAGAAUUUUCUGAACGGUGUUGCACAAGAUGUUUUUGAAUGUUACAUGAAAAAAUGAGUCCCUAAUCAAAAAGUUUGGGAAACUCUGGAUUGAACCAAGUUGUGCAGUUUAUUUGAUUGCAGAAAAUGUUGGGGUCACUGGUGUGCUCACUUGCCUUGUGAUUUUUUUUUUUAAAUUUUGGACAGAGAACAUUCCCAUAUUUGACCAUGGACUCACUUCUUACAGAAAAUCCCAUGGGAUAAACAUUCCACAUAGUAAACAUUUAGGAAAUAAUGGUGUGGUCAGAGGCUACAUCUUUACCCUGCCGGUUUUCUCAAAGCACUGCCCAUGGGCCACCUACACUAGAAUCUUCUUAGCUCCAUUACACAACUACUGAAUCACAGUCUCAGGCCUGUGGCUUGGAAAUCCGCAUUUUCAAAGCUCUCUGAGCUAUAGUCUUACGCUUAUUGAAGUUUGGGAUCCACCAGGUGACAGAGUUGUGCCUCCACUUUACAGACACCAUGACUUGAUCAAUUUACAUCCAGGUACCUCCUCCUGGCUCCCUAAAACUCAUUUCUCUCAUCACCAUGUGGUACCCGGAUAAUUUUCUCAGCUCUGUUCCAAGCAGCUUGCAUUUAUCUUUAUUGUUGCUCUUUUUAUUGAUUUAGGUCCAUCUCUGCAAUUCGUCAAGCUUGGAUUGCAUUUUAAUCUUGUCCUCCAAAGUAGCUAAGAUCCCUUCCAGCUUCCUAUCAUCCAGAAAUCUGAUUAGCUGGGUCUCGAUUCCAUCCUUCAAGCCAUUAAUGAAAACAUUAAAUGGUCCUGGCUUGGCAUGAAGGUCUUCAGGGUUCUCGGUGGGUAUAUGGCUCCCAUAUCUGCCACUAGCCUCUGCUUGGCAUAGUCCUGGGUUGGAGAUCAGGCCCAAUAUUUCAGUUGUAGGUUACUGCAUCCUCAUGCUUCCUCAUCCAUGCACGUAGUGCAAAUCUGUGUAGGAAAAAUACAACCUAGUAAUUAAUUAAUUCAUUAGACAUUAGAUCAACAAAUGUCUUUAAAACACUAGGUUUUUCCUCACACCAGUGGCAUGUUGACCUCAGAAUGAAGAAGCUAAUGCCGAGUGUGUGCAUUAGAAAGAUCGAUUUUUAUGUAAAAUGCAACUCGGAUCUGUCUUUGUGAUACACCAUUCCAGGAGGAGAUGACCUCAAGACAAGCAGCUUCCAUGCAAUACUGCAGCAAGGGCUUACUUUCCUGAGCAUUUCCCACGCUCCAAUCACUGCUCUAAUUCCUUUAGAUGUGUUAACUCACUUCCUGCUCACAAUACUUCUAUGAGAUGAGGAAAUGGAGGGACCAAGAUAACUGCCCCAGAGCCAACCCCAGGUCCAGCGGACUCUUUCCUCCUCAGAGGCUUGCCCCAGGAGAGACCAGCUGAACAGGCAUUGCCUGGGACUCCUUGGGGAAGUGGAGGUUGGAAAAGUAAGUGAAGGAACAAGCACUGGGGGGGGGGUCAGUGUUCAGUUCAUCCCUUGCUAUGGCCCCAUCCUACUCAGCCACUCAGGGCUGGGCCUGGCCUGACUCUAGGAGCACAAGAUGCAGCCUCUGUCCUCAGAGAUUCAAAGGUUGAGCAGACAUUGGCCACAGUCCCGGCUGGCUCCGACCGUGGCAGAGGCUGAACCAGAGCAGAGGAGGAAGCAGAGGGGUGGGCCGCAAGCUCUUCUUGGAGUCUCAGGAGCUGCAGAGAGCAAGCUGGGCUUCCUGGAGGAGGAGGCGUGAGAGUUGGGCCUUGAAGCACUCAGCAGCUGUUUCCUGAGCUGAUGUACAUCUCAUUAGUCUAUCAAGCUCCAACAGCCAAGGCCAAGGCCCCCAGAAUGAAAAACUGACGCAGCCACCCCUUCCUGUGCCAGAGACAGGAGAAGGGAGGGAGACUGACGGCCUUUGUUCUCUGAGCAAGACCGUAAAGCACUUCGCCUACAGGCCACAAGAGGGCGAUGGUGGUCCACACAUAAGAUCUUCCCAAAGAGCCAGCCAAAAACGCCUGCCUGGAGAAUCUGGAGGUUGUGAAAGGUGACUUUGUUAAGGAAGGGCGAUGGCCCUUCUCCCUGCCCCAGAGCUCUGAAAGCCUUUAAAGUGGCUUUAGCAGCGUGGUUUAAGAAUGGCUCCUUCGGUACAAGGACGGCCAUCACUGCUUCUCCUACUGUGUUUGAUGCCAGCGUUCUUCCCGUCUGCAGGGAAGGACGGAGAGUGAGGAGGGCACACAGGACGUAGCUGGCUCCUGGCCAUGGACGGUGACCGCUCUGGGGCCAGCAGGGUAGAGCUGCCUUCCUACAUCUGAGAACUCAAGGGCGAGAGGGAGGCAGGGCAGGGGAGAGGGUUGGUCUCAGUUCACAGGGCGACCCUCUGGCCCUGGUUCUGACGGCGACUCGCUGUGUAAGCUAAGGAGUGUCUCGCUCUGUACAGCGGGCAGGUGGUGGGUCUCUGCACGUCCAGCAUCUCCAGCUUUCCGUCCUCUGAGCUGUUUUGACAUGGGAGGCGCUGGCAGGGAGAGAGGGGUCACUGAUGUGGGAAGCUGGUGCAGAGCUGGGGAGUAGCUUGUGAUGCUGGAGAACCUGGAGAUGCCCCUCCCAUUCCUUGGGCCUCGACUGUCUCAUCUGUGGAAUGGGCGGGUCAGACUGGAUAAUCUCUAACCAUUGCUUCCCUUCACUUCUGUCCCAAUAAACACACACGGAGCUUUUUCGUUUGUCUUUUGUCUUUUUUUUUUUUUUUUUUUUUUUUUUAGAGACGAGGUCUCACUAUGUUGUUCCCCAGGUCUGAGUACAG